rnacentral:misc_RNA from 1 species
CGACAAAAAUUAAGGAGUAAACUGGAACCCAAUAUGACCCACUUAUUUAUUAUGAUAUUAUAACACUAAAACGUAGGAGGACACUUGUCCAGAUAUCAACGGUGAAAAGUUACCCCACAACGGAAAAGACACGCGAAAAUAAAGUAAAUAAAUAAUAAAUAAAAAGGCUCCGAGUGCCUUUACGAUUGUGGAUACUGUUGUCUGGAAACGACAACAACCCGCAGGCUACUGCCAGAAUCCAAACCAACAUAUUUUUAUAAGUCGCAAACUGCGGCGAGCACUCCUUUUUUUACAAAAAAAAAAAAAAAUCUUUCUACCUCAGAAAAACGAAAGGCCGUCCUUGAUCCUACCUUUAUCUCUUCCUUUCAAAUUUCUAAAAAUUCACCUGUGCUUUAAUAAUUACUAAACAGCUACAUUAAAUGGCAUCGUCAUCGGCCAGCGGGGAGCUUUCUAGCAAAACCAUUCGCCGCCGGCGCUGGUCGUGUUAGCUGCAGGUGGUAUUUCGAAAUGCCAUAGCCUACCCACAGCCUUUACCAUAUGUUUUCUGCAUAAAAACUCCUCCGCGUAAACCUUUUCCACCUUCCUGUCUAUGUCAUGCAGAAACACAUGCGUCACACCGGAUCCUUUCCUUGCUCUCGCCAUCACUGCUGCAGAAAAUAUCGCAGCCAUUCUCCCUGGUGCCUCUGCAAAGUACCCUCGUGGCGCGUCGAUCAUGAUCAGAUCCCAUUCCUUGUCGUACACCGCGUCCGGUAAUCCAGUCAGUGCUAGCUUGCAGUUAUAGUUGCCGCGUAUAUAUGCUUUACUUGGUGAACAGUAUGGUUCGCUCCGGUAGGUGGAGAGAAGCUGGUCUGCCUCCUGGAGCUGCGUCCGGUACUGGACGGUGUGAGCCUGGAGUGUAGGAGCGUCCUUGAGGACGGUCUGCACCCACUUGGGGUCUUCUUCGAGGAAUAUGGUGGUGCCACGUGGAUUCAGCGAAUUCCACAUGAGGGAAUCGUGGCCGAGACCGAAGACGAGGAAGUUGCAAGGAGCGAGAGCCUUGAGGACGUCGAAGGUAACGGAGAUUUCACCCAAUGAUUGCUGUGGGACGAUCCGUGAAGUGGCGUAGUGGACGAUGGCUUGGAGCUGGAUCGGCGUGGCUGCAUACUCCGCCGUAGAACGGGCUCUGGAGCUGGCCAAGGAGCAAAGGAAGGUAGUGUCGCCAGAGCGCAUGAAGCUGGAUAGGAUCAGCCCGCCGAUUAUUAGACCGGCGAUGGCCACGCCUAGGAGCCACGAUUUCUCGGGCAGAUAAUGCCGAUUCUUCAUUUCUUAGAAAUUUUUUUCUAGGGAAUAAUGUUUGGUGUUCGUAUCUGAAAAUGAAAUGAUAGAGUCUGUGUCUUGUUGGUUGCGAAUUGUUUUGGGUUUGGCCCUUUAACUUAUGCUAUAUAGAGAUAAUAGAGCUAGGGUUGCAGUGAAGCAUGGAAGGGAAGUGGGCUAUUAUUCUUAGUUAUUUUAAUGGACAUUAAAUCCCACGACUAUGACAGAAGUCUAUGACAUGGUCAGUCCAGCUUAAAAUAGAAUCAGGUCAAAUUAAAAUUAAAUUUAAAUUAAUUAAAAUUAGAAUUGAUGAAUGUAACAAUUUUUGAAAUUAAAAAUUAAA